rnacentral:rRNA from 1 species
AGCGAACGCUGGCGGCAGGCCUAACACAUGCAAGUCGAACGGAUCCUUCGGGAUUAGUGGCGGACGGGUGAGUAACACGUGGGAACGUGCCCUUUGGUUCGGAACAACUCAGGGAAACUUGAGCUAAUACCGGAUGUGCCCUUCGGGGGAAAGAUUUAUCGCCAUUGGAGCGGCCCGCGUCUGAUUAGCUAGUUGGUGGGGUAAAGGCCGACCAAGGCGACGAUCAGUAGCUGGUCUGAGAGGAUGAUCAGCCACAUUGGGACUGAGACACGGCCCAAACUCCUACGGGAGGCAGCAGUGGGGAAUCUUGCGCAAUGGGCGAAAGCCUGACGCAGCCAUGCCGCGUGAAUGAUGAAGGUCUUAGGAUUGUAAAAUUCUUUCACCGGGGACGAUAAUGACGGUACCCGGAGAAGAAGCCCCGGCUAACUACGUGCCAGCCGCCGCGGUAAAAC